GAUGUUCAGCUAAUAGCUGUGUAAAAUUAAAAUAUUCAAAAGGAACUAGGAUAAGAUAAACUCUUCAGAGUUAAAGGCUUUCUAGCAUCUGUAUUUGCCUUUAAUAUUUUUUCUGACUGUGUAGAAGUAGCUUCUGCUUUCCCGACCCUCACAAAAAGCCUUGCCAAAACGUACAGAAACCCACCUCUGGUGUUCUCAUAUUGAACAGAUGAAUACAGAUGAUCUUGCUUUGUGAUUUGAAAUGAGGACUUUGUCUCUCCUUUCCUUCACUUACAAAUGGUAUGAAGACAUUCUCUGUGAUGUCUGUAUGACUGAAGGUAGCAGAAGGAGUAAAACUGGGAAAGUUGAAUACGUUCAAUGCACUUAAAGAAGCCUGGAAGUUAAUGACAUCAUUGGCAGACAGCUCUGGCCUCGUGCAUCUGGAGAUCCAAACAGCCCUGCUUGAUGCUGGCACAUUUUGGUGUGAGUGUCAGGACAUGGUGACCAUGAUGUGCUUGACCAAACUUGGUGCUGACAUUUGGGACCUGAGGAGGUGUCUGAGACCGGUAGAAGGGAGCUGACAUGACACCAGUGCCGCUCCCAGAGGACAUGCUACAACCUCUUGACAUGGAGCUUGCAGUAAGGAAGAACUGAACUCUCUGUACAUCCUGCAGCAGAAGCACCCCAAGCUGCUGCCCACAGCUUUCUUUCUGCUCCCCUCCUGAGGUCUGAGGACUGUUCAAGAAAACAUCCAAUUCCCAAACUUCUGGCGAAUGCUUUUAUCACCCUUCAUUCUCUCUACCAGCUUACUUGCCCUUGAAAUUUGUCCACAGAGAAUGACUAAAAAUUUGCUCAUGAACUUAAAAAAUUGGCAUGAGACUUCCAUGGUUUAUGGGCAUGGUGGUGGUAGGCUAAUGGUUGGACCAUAGGUCUUUUCCAACCUCAAUGAUUCUAUGAUUCAUGCUGCCAACACAAAGACCAACAAAGCUUACUGUGCUUGGAUACUGAAGAAAACUUCUUUUGGAGGAACCAUUUUGAGAAGCACCAUUUUGUUCCUACCCAGGUGGGCCCUUCCAGAGUUCCCAAGCACCCCCUUCCCCAGCUCAGUAAUGGAAAUGUACUGCAAUCAACAUCCCAACGUGUAACCUUAACUUUUUGAAGUGACGAGUCUAAUGCCCUUACACUGACUUCAGCUUCUUUAGAUAAGGGAAGGAAGAAAGCAAAGGAUUAAUAAACCAUCUCCCCCUCCCAUAUGUUGAGAAACUAUGCUAGCACUGACAACAGACUGGCCAAUAUUCAUAAUAAUCUUUUAACUGGAUGGCAAUGAAAGUUUCCACUAGUCUAACUAAGCUUUUGGCUAUUCAUGUGUAUUGUAUGAAAGAAUCCAGAUUUAUCAAUGUCAAUCUGUAAAUUAGCAAUAAUUUCUGGUUUUGCGUUGGAAGAGUGGGGGUCAAGGGAAAAAAACACAGGUUUAAAGGAAGAUGGGAUUGUCUUCCUGCCAUUUUGUCUGUGUUUGAUUUCUUCAGCUCUGCGCUGCCUGGAAAUCAGUCCAAGAUGUUACAACAGAUGUCUGACAGCACUUCAGCUCGCUGCUUGAGAUCCGAGCAGUGCUGAGCUUGAAGUCAGCUGGUGGUAGCACUUGACCCAGGUUCAGUGAGCUCACCCCAGGGCUUACUGAGUGUGCUGUGAUUGCUGGGGAACACUAUCCAAGCAGAUGUUUAGCUGGCAAACUUGCCUCUCUCUGUUGUUCUGUCCCCUGUGAGAACAUGUGAAACACAGGAUGCUGGAUUUUCCUUGGGAGAGAAACAGGGCCGUGGGGAGAAGCGCUGGCUGGUGGUGGUAGCCAAAUGUUCCCACCAGGAAUUCAAACUGUCCCCCUGCACAUCUCAAAGCAAAACUGCAAGAUUUGGUCCACUGCCAGUCCUUCCAAGUUUCCUGCAUGGUCUGGUUUGUGACACGAGCUCUGCAAAAUGUAUUCCAUAUGUUUGUUCCACCAGAAAUCCUAUUGGUUUGUGAUACCGCAACUGAGCUUGCUUGUGGACAUUUGAUCCCUGUCUGGGUAAGAUGAAGAUUCGCUCUACAAGGAAUUUUAAGUCAAAUGUUAGUUCCGCCUCAGCCUGGAUUAUAUAUGUGCUGACAAAAAUAAAUCUGACGUUUUAUUCCUGACUUGAACAAUGUGAGGUUCCUCUUCAGGGAUUCCCGGAUUGUUCUUACCUAGUAAUUAAAUCUUCAUCAUGUUUUUGCCAAAAGCAGUAUGUUCAGCUCCCAAAGGGGGAUUAUUUCUUCUGUAUCCCUCCACUCCCCACACAAGAUCUCCCGGGGUCCAUCUGUACCUCCUCCUCCCUUUUAGCUACACUUGUCUCGUUAGUUGUUCGGCCCUGAUUCUGCAAGCUGAUGCCUGGAUCUGCUGUGCAUGAAAAAUCCCACAUCUAUAUCCUGCCAGGAGGCAUUUUGUUUCGCUCGCUUGGAGUCUAGGACAAGGUUUUCCCUCCCAUGAAUUAUGUGCUUUCUUGGCCAGGAACUACAGAUGCAGAUUUUUCCCGCUGGGGGCUGCCGAGGGGCUCUGGGCAGGAGCUCCAGGGAACUCAGGCUCCCCAUCCACCCCAGAGCUUUGCUGACAGGGUGACAUUGGUUGUAUGGCUUCAGCCCUUGAAACGGCCAGCGUGGAAAACACGCAGGGAGACACAACGGGGUUAGAAGAAAAAUGUUUAUAAUGCCCUGGGCACUUACUGUAUGUACAUAUGGGGUAUACAUAUGCAUAUGUGUAACGUUUGAUCAACAACAGUGAUUGUAGAGGUGUGUCUUGUUAUGAAGUCAAUUCUGUAUACAAUCUGUCCUGGGUUCUGACAUAAUAUUUAUCUUGUCACGAGUUAAGUUCCCAAACCCAAAUCCUUCACUGAUAUUCUGUUAGAAAAUCAUCCCUCCAUGUCCACUGUUUUGGUGUUCAAGUGCCAUAUUACUGUUGUCCCAUUUCUAUAAAUGCUCAUAAUAACAAUGUACUAUUUGUCAGGAAGGUGGAUAGCUAUCUCACUGACUUCCAGCUUCAGCUUCAAAACAGUGGUGUACCACACUAGUGGUUUCAUGAUGCCUUGUUUUGGAUGAAAAGGUGGUUAUAAAAAGCAUAAAUUCAUUCAGCUCUACCCAACAUUUUGUGCACAUAGUUAAACCUAUAGAUGAAUUAUCUGGUAGUGAAUUGCCAAACAGAAAAACAACAACAACAAAACAGCAAACAAAGGUAGAACAGCAAACAGGUUCCAAUCAAAUUUCUCUUCUCAGUUCUUGCUCAGACUACAUUUAUUUGUUCCAAUAAGAAAUCUUUAGAAUUAACAGUGGGUUUUGUCCAUUCUUCUUUUUUUUUUAACUAUGGACAAACUAUGACAAUACACUCUAAUGGAAUGAAAUUUUCUUUUUCAUUCUGGAAAUAUAUCCUGCGCUAUAGGGCUUUUCAAUUUAACAUACAAGCCUUUAUCUUUUCCAGCCAAGAGCAACACUUAUUUUAUAUGUAUACAAAUGUAAUUACAAAUGUUUGUUUCUGUAAGAACUCAUAUUUUUACCUUUUAAAAUGCACAUAAACGUUGCUAGAUAUGAAACCUUUUAGCUUGUAGGGCCGGCAAAUAUGCUCACGCUGCUUUAGCAUUUGCACAGUGAUGUCCUUUGCAUGACUCAAGGACUUAUUCUGCUAUGAAAAUUACAUGCAUUUCCUUGGAGAAACCUUUUAUUUUUCCUUUCUUUCUUGUUUUCCUUUGCAGAAAUAAUCUACAUGAUGGCAAGAAAAAAUUAAGCUACAGUAGAGUCUUGCGAGGAAGAACAUUAGGAUGUGUACCCAUCCUUCUCUUGUUGAUCUUAGAAUACUUGGGGAGAGGAAUUUGGUUUAGUUCUUGUUGCCAGAUGUAUAUGCCCUGCAGAUGCCAGAAGGACCUCUUGGGAACUCCCACGCUCUCAUGAGCAGCUCCUGGUAUUGGUGACUGUGUGCAAUUUAGAGAACUCAUUCACUAAUUCCUUUUGUGCUUCUGACAUGAGUUGGUGAAAACAAACCAAAACAGUGGUUUCCAGUGAUCAAACCAGUGACCAGUGAAGGAAUAGAACUUCUUUUCUGAGUCAAAUGGUCCACAGUACAUGCUAGUGUUCAGCCUUAUGGCCUCAGCCAGAUUAUUUAAGUAAUUAUCAGGCAUGUUGCAAAGAAAAGCUCCCAUGACCAUUCUAAAAGAUCAGAAGCCUCCAAGAUGUGUAGGUGUUUCACAGCCAGUGAUAACUGAUUUUAUAUUUAGCUUCACUGUGAAAAUACUCUUGGAUUUUGUCCACCUGAAGUAACACAACAGUUCAGAUUUGCCUAGUUUGCAGUGUUUAGAACUAUAUUAGAAGCAAUUUGCCUAAUGACCAAUCUGAACCAUUUCCUUCAAUGACUCUUCUGGGGCAAGUCCACUGUAAACAGAGUUGCUGCCUUUGCUUUACCAGUGGUAUCGUCAAACCUCAAACCCCCUUGUACUAAGUAGGGCAUUCAACCACCUCACGUGCCUUUAAAAAUGGAAGUAACAUGACAACACUGGGACUUCCUUAGCUGUGUUCAGUUUUCACUCUGGCUAUCAGUCCUGCUCUAUUUGUCUUCCACCUGCGGACCACCAGUGUCUUCCCCUGGCUCUCAAGUAGUAUCUCCAGUGCUCCCAUCCCAGUACCUUGUCGGGCAGUACUGGCAGCCAGCCAUAAGGAGGGAGUAAGCCUCGCUCCAGACCUGACAAGUGUUGGCUUCCUAUGGCAGCAGAUCCCAUGGGUUACGUGGAGCCAGAGAGAUCCCAUGGGUUAUGUGGAGCCAGAGAGGAUGCAUUUCUGCAUUGGUGGGAGUGUAGGCUGGCAUCUGUCCUGGCUGGUUCACAACUUUGUGCAUCAUGACAAAAUUAAAUGGUACCACAUCAGCGUCUUCCAGGUUCGUGCUAGGGUACCCAAUUGAAGCAUUACAAUUGUUUAGAUGAAAAUAUCUCUAUUCUGUAUUUUAAUAUGCUAAUUCAUACAAUCGAUAGUGAUAUGUUAUAAAAUGGAGGUUGUAUUGUGGUGACUUCAAUGUCACAGGUUAGCCCAAGGAGUUAGAAGUAUUAAUAUGACCAAG
ensembl:lncRNA